UGAAGUGCUGGAAACUGAAAUGAAACACAUGGCAAAUAUUUUGCUUCCUGUCACACAAGGGAUUCGAUCCUGCAGGCUGCGUGAGUGCAAAGCUCCAGUUCGUCUGCAGUCAACAGGUGAAAUUCUGACAUUAUUGCCGUCGACUGAAAUCUUUCCUUCCCUUCCCCAGGACUGAUUUGACCAUAGAGAUGUUCUCUGAUGCAGGGUAUGGUAUUGAACAAUAUAAAACCGAGUAAAGGUAGAUGAUACUCACAGAAGGAGAUGGGUCUGCAUACCAGUGCAGAACCUAAAUCACCACAUUUUGGGGAAGUAAUGGUGCAGUUCAGAGUGGGUUCAAGAAUGUUUGAAAAACAAAGAAAGGAACUGUACUCUGGAAGAGACUGAUGGUAUGUUAAGUCAGUAAGAAAUAUGUCUUCAGAUUUUGAAUGGGACUAAUAAUGUCUGAAUGCCACGUUCAGAGCCUUGCAAGGGUUCACUUUUCCAGAGAUCUAAGAAAUCAAGUGCUGUUGAAUUUGAUAAUAGUAAGACAUCACAGUGGAACAAUUAAAGUAUCCAAGUAAUAGGUCUCGUUACCUGAUAUUACACUGAGAAAAAAAUGUUUUCCUGAACUUAUGCAAUAAUUUCUUUCACUGAUACAAAAGGAUUAGUACCUUUGUAUUGUGGCAAAGGUAUUGUAAACUCAUUUUAUGGAGCUCUAGUUCUGGUUCUGUUCUGAUUCUGCCACAGACUUUGUUGUUUCUGUGAAAAAAAUGCUUAAACGAGAUACACCUCAAUGCUUUUUAUCAACAGAAAGAACUUCUAACAGGAUUGGUGGUGGUUCAUCCUUCACAGGACUCCUGUAAAUACCAGUAAAGUAAAGUUUGCAAACUGCUUGUAUACUAGAAAGUUCAGAACCACGCAGUAGCUAAACUAACUUGUAUUACAGUUCCUGUAAAUAGGUAAACUAGGUGGUGCUGAAUUUGGCUUUUACUGUACUUAGCUGUAUUACAGAAAUUUCUGUAGAGUAACAGGGCAACUACCUUUGAGGAAACGAACAUAGUCACUUGGGUGUAUUGAUAAGCUUCACUUAACAAGCGGGAAUGGACGUGCACUCUUUGUAAGGACUUUGCUGCCUCAGAUUCCACUUUGAUGCAAUAUUUGGUUUUCUUCGUAUUGCUAUGCUUAGAAACGAGCACCAAAUUUACUCUGCACUUGAACAGUGUUACCAUACCCCAAAGUUUAAUCAGCCAGCACCUCUGUCUUUUCCCAAGUGUGCCUCUUUGACUGGAGGAAAGCAGUCUUCUAUUUUUGUUUGCCACCUAUUUGCCCAUAUUUUUCCAUGCUCGUCCUGUUGCUGUGUAGUAUCUUCUCAAUCUUGCCAGCUAAAGAGAAGAAGGAGAUGCAAAGGUAAUCCAGUACCAAACUGGCCCCUUCAGAACUGCAGCUGGUUUGCCCUGGCAAAGGUAAAGACCCUUUAGCAAAGAGGCUUUGUUGGAAAUAGGUCUUAUUCAAUAAAUACCUAAAGGAGCCCAACCACAGCCAGUUUUUGGGAAAGGUCACACAUGAAUCAAACAGGAAGAUAUUCCAGGGAAGGAGACUGUUUCCAUUCACAUGGUAAUGUCUGACAUGGAGACAAGCUGAAAUGGUAGCAAGGGAAAUAGGGAAAAUGUUACCACAAGUAGUGUGUGGGCUACUACAGAACAAUUUGCAAGGGGGUGGAGGUCUGAACUGCACAUCUACUGGGGAAGGUCAAAUUAUGUAAAUGGCAGAGUGCUUACUUGGGGAGCUCUAACAGUGGGUAGAUGGAAGCUACACACUAAAUUGCUCAGUAGAGUUGGUUAUCUGGUUGUUUGUGCAAAAAACUUAGUUGAAGAUAGACUUUAAAAACACAGAAUUAGGAGGAGAUUACAGUCAGAAUGGUGAAUAACAAAGCAAACUGCCAAAGUUUUCAAUUUAUACCAGGGGCCAGAUACUGAAAGUGAAAAAGUGGUGGGACUGAACAGGAGGAAUAUCAAGAAGUAUAAAGUAAGCAGGAAAAAGAAGUGUGAGAGCAACAAUCAGUUCACAUCAAUUUUUGGGUGGUUUUAUAUCUUACCUUUCUUUUUGUAUCCCCAAGCGUAUCUCACUUCGCUGUGUUUUUAAACUUGUUUUUCCACUGUGCUUCUGUUUUUCAGAAAAAAAAAAUCACUUAGAUGUAGAGAAAAAAUAUUGCAUUUGUCUUCUGUGGAUAUAAGUAAACCAGAUUAAUUUUUA